ensembl:lncRNA
GCGGGAGCGAGUAAUCAGACGGUAGAGGAAGCGCGCAGGCUGGAGGAGAGGCAGAAGCUGGAGCACCGAGGAUGAAAGCGGACUCAUCCGUGAGCGGCGGCGCUGACUCUCACCGAGGGCCCGACGUGAAUGCAGAAAAUUGAGUCUGGAAAAUUCAGCGAGCUAAAGUUCGGGACAUUUGGCUCCAGAGUUUGCUUUGCUUCUGAAGCAGAUAUCACGCCAGCAUCAUGUCGGGCUACAGCAUCAGAGAGUGUGAGAGAGGGGGGGUCUGUUUUUGUCUUUGGUUAUCUAGCUGUAUGAGUGUUAAAUACCUGUCAUAAAGCUAGAUAACCGAAAGUAGAAAUGACUUCCGUAACCGUGUGUGCGUACCCGAAAGAAAAGGGCACUCCAUCGGCUUUAGAGUCACCAAGUUGGAUUUUGAAGUUCACCUCCAACAGGUAAGAAAACGUUCUGCUUUGAGGCUGGUCAUAAUACUCGUGAAUUAAAUAGGCAACAAAAUGUUUUACUAGAAGUGUGUAAAGUAAGAUUUUGGUGCUGGAUUUAAAUUUGUAAGGAGUUUCUCUCACUUAUAACCAGUGCAUUUGUGGGCCUUUCAUUGUAGCAUAUGUCGGAUUUGUACAAACUUUAUUAUAUGCUAGAAGAGGAGAAAAAACUAUUUUCUAACAAUACUACCUUUAAUUUAUAUUUUAUUUUUUUUAAUCUAUUAUAUAAAAACAGCCACAAGUGCAAAUAAAAUGAUCUAACAUCUCAAUCAGGACUCUACCCCAAGGCAUCUUUUACAUUUAAACUUAUGUCUCUCAGUGUAGCCUGAGGGUUCGUAUGAGCUUUAGGAAUUGAGCCUGUUUCAGGGUUGUCUAUUCAGGUCCUUUGCAACAUGGUGUUGAAUGUAAAGCAGGUCACCCAGUGGCUGGAUGGGGAGAAGUAGAGACUCAAAGACCCAAAAUUUCACCAUUCGCAGGCAUUGGUCCACUGAUGUCAGUAAAGCAUCAUGUGAGAAAAACUUUAUUGCCAAAAAAUUAAUAAUUAAUAUUUUUUAAAAAUCCAGUCUAAUAAGAAGGGAGGUCGUAGCAGGAAAGGUGAACAGGCCACACUACCAGGACCCUGAAACUACAGCUAAAUGGAAUUCAGCCAUUAUUCAUUUGUGCUCUUCUUACCUCUUUCUGUAAAAACACAUCACAUUAUCAAAGCAUAGAGUCAAAUAAAUGUACUUAUUAAUAAUUGCACUUAUUAAACCACACUUAUUAUUAUUAUUAUUAUUAUUAUUGAGGACCUCCAAUAUUCCUCUUAAAGUACCUGCUUCAGGAUACACUGGCAUGUUCCCCUGAAAGCCUAUAGUGAGUGCGUUGUGAUCUUUUACAAUUUACCCUCUACUUUGUCAUUCAUUUACUUUUUUCCUUCGCUGAAGAGUAUUUGCCAUUUAUUUUAAACACAACACGCAGUUCCGAUUCUAACUUUAUUCAGAAGAAAGAAAGGGGAAGCUAAUGCUUUGUUCCAGCAGGACUGCUAAUAAUGCCGUUGAGUGGUGUAGCACCCUGCUAAUAAAAACACUUGGCGUCUGUAUUUAAAGCUGUAGCAAAUCUCAGAGCCUUUGGGAUACAUUGUGUCUCGCCUCAAUGAGAAGGCCAGGGCCAUCCUGUAGACAGGAGCUGAACUUUUCAACUUGGUACUUCAGUGCUGUUCGGUGCAUACGCUCAACCCUGAGAAUGCCUCUAAAGCCUAAAGAGCACCAAAGUGAGAUGAGUUUUCAUUCAUUCUGUUAACUACCUAUUGCUGUAGAGCUUGCGGUCAAAUGCGGCUAAUUGCUUCGUUUCACAACGAGAUAUUGGAUAUGUGAAAAGGCCGCGGUCCAAGUCUUUUCCAGAGCUUUCCCUGUUAUAGGUAGCGUGUGAACAUGGCGUGCCUCCUUAGUGAAAGGGAAUAAAAACACUUGAGGCUUUAUAUAUGGGAUGGUCCAAGGCAUUCUUGAUUUAACCUUUGUACUUUGUAUAAUACGAAGGAUUCUCUUGGUGGCUUUAUGGCAAAAAAACAUACAAAAACGCACAAGCAUGACAAGAGAUGGGACUGAGCUAUGAAGAAGCAAAGCUGGUGAAAGCUUUAAAAGUUUCCAUAGCUGACUGAUUUAUGCUUGUUUACAGUAUGUACAGUAGGCCGUGUUUAGCUAUAGUGAUACCUUAAAAUGUGUAAAGCACUUUUCAUAUUUUACUCCUCUGGUUUCUAUUUUUCUGCUCGUAUUGCAGGCUUCUGAAUAAUACUGAAAGCUGUGGGAUUCCUGAAAGGAUCCACCAUUAGAAGAAAAUAAAAAGAAAGGACCUCCCCUCUCCCUCUUUCACCUCU